rnacentral:rRNA from 1 species
AUACGUAGGUGGCGAGCGUUGUCCGGAAUUACUGGGUGUAAAGGGCGUGUAGGCGGUGACGCAAGUCAGAUGUGAAAUACCGGGGCUUAACUCCGGGGAUGCAUCUGAAACUGCGACUCUUGAGUGCUGGAGAGGAAAGCGGAAUUCCUAGUGUAGCGGUGAAAUGCGUAGAUAUUAGGAGGAACACCAGUGGCGAAGGCGGCUUUCUGGACAGUAACUGACGCUGAGGCGCGAAAGCGUGGGGAGCAAACAGGAUUAGAUACCCUGGUAGUCCACGCCGUAAACGAUGGAUACUAGGUGUAGGAGGUAUCGACCCCUUCUGUGCCGCAGUUAACACAAUAAGUAUCCCACCUGGGGAGUACGAUCGCAAGAUUGAA